AGCAUUUCAGCAUUUUACUGCUGAGUUUUUCAGUGAUCGCUCAUUCAGUACACGCUUUAGAAGCUGCAUGACUUUUACUGUCUAAGCAAAUGGAAAAGGAAUCAGCCUCCGGCUGGUAAAAUGCAUCCUGGAGGGUCUUAAUGGUGUUGUAUAGUGAGGAAAGAAGUCCUAUAUUUGAAAGUUCAUGAAUGUGUGUAUCACAGACCACAAGCCUGUAAAGCAAU